rnacentral:rRNA from 1 species
AUUGAACGCUGGCGGCAGGCCUAACACAUGCAAGUCGGACGGUAGCACAGAGAGCUUGCUCUCGGGUGACGAGUGGCGGACGGGUGAGUAAUGUCUGGGAAACUGCCCGAUGGAGGGGGAUAACUACUGGAAACGGUAGCUAAUACCGCAUAACGUCUAAGGACCAAAGUGGGGGACCUUCGGGCCUCACACCAUCGGAUGUGCCAAGAUGGGAUUAGCUAGUAGGUGGGGUAAUGGCUCACCUAGGCGACGAUCCCUAGCUGGUCUGAGAGGAUGACCAGCCACACUGGAACUGAGACACGGUCCAGACUCCUACGGGAGGCAGAAGUGGGGAAUAUUGCACAAUGGGCGCAAGCCUGAUGCAGCCAUGCCGCGUGUAUGAAGAAGGCCUUCGGGUUGUAAAGUACCUUCAGCGGGGAGGAAGGCGAUGGAGUUAAUAGCUUCAUCGAUUGACGUUACCCGCAGAAGAAGCACCGGCUAACUCCGUGCCAGCCGCCGCAGUAA